rnacentral:lncRNA from 1 species
CUGAGGUGCAGGACACGAGCCGGGAGAGACCCUCCAGGCCUCAGUGCCCGUGCUGAGGAUGUGCGGAGCCCAAAACUGGGGACGACUCGUCCGUGGCGUGUCUUUAGAGAGAGUGUCAGGUCAGAGGAGGUUGAAAGGGCUUUCCGGGGUGCCAGCCAGAUGGCUGAGUGCCGCUUGGAGGCACAAGGGGAGUCCCAGUGAGACACAGAGGUGGCCCUAGCUUGGGUGCGGCCGGGGAAGAGCAGAUGGGCAUGGAGAGCUUUGGGAGGCAGCAGGACUUGGGGAUGGGAUGCAGGAUGCAAAAGGAGGGGCGGGUUCACGUGGGCUUCAGGUUCUGGCUUAAGGCCCCAGCGCUGGGGAGGAGCAGGAGAGCAGGACAGAACCUGCUUCAGGUCAGGUUCCAGCCAAGCUGGAGGUGCCUCUUGGGAUCUAGCCAGGGAUGUCCAACAGGUGGCCGAGUAGGUAGGUUCCAAGUGGAGAAGAACGAGGCUGGCCAGGAAGAUGUAUAUAACAGCUGCCAACAUUUAAAUUCAGUCAAGAUCAGCUAAUUCUGCUCUGAGAGACCUGAAUAAGGGGAGAGACCAUUCUAACACGGAUGCCGUCCAGACAGUGCCUCUCAGAAAGGGAACCUAAAGACACGUUUCCAUCAUACCCCGGUGCCCUGUGACAGCCGUCAGCAGUCCCCUCAUGGAUGCCCCAACAGUGACCCUGGCCACCCCGCGGAGGAACAGCUGGAGGACUGCCGAUCGGACCCCUCCAGUCCUGGAGCCGCUGUGCUGGAGUGGAAUCUGAAGAGAGAUGCCUCUCCGUGUUAAAUGUUUAAAAAUAAAUGAAGAUGCUAUACUCUAGAAUUACAUGUAGAUAUUCUAUAUGCAUAUAUGUGCUCAUCGACCAUAGUCCCAUAUUUUUCUUAAAAUAGACAGUGAUAUUGGCAGGCACAGUAGGAGCACAAGGCAUCUAUAUUGUUCAAGACAAGUUUGAGACACUGGAAAAAAGAUUCUUGUGUGUAUUGGACAGAGUGAAGAAGCUAAGCACUGUAAUAGAAACCGCCGACGUUCAGAAGGACUGUCGGGGUGAUGUCAGAACAAGCAGAGGUGGAGUUGAGGUUGGCAAAGUGUUAAUACUAUGGCCUCUCCUUGUCUUAGUGGGUAUUUAAAAUAGUAAAUGAAGAGAGGCAGGAGGUGGCCUUCAGGUGCUGUGGAAACCAGGCGUGAUGGAGUAGGGGCCUCGACAAGACCCUCACUGUUCAGAGGUUCAGUCGCACCCCCCCAGGGGCUGUGUGCAUUCCCCACGUGCUUGCUCCUGCUUUCCACCACUUGUACUCAGUGAGUCCGGCCGAGGAAACACGUCCGUGGGAAUGCUUAUAUUCUGCUUCAGAAGAGAGAGCUAGUUGAACACUAAGAAAAGCAGGCUUCUUUGUUUAUUCUCAGGACCUUUUUGUAACAGGGCUACAUUCUGCAAACUGCUCACAAAGGAAGACUGCCUGUCUUAACAAAUUCUCUAGCCACUGACCCCUCCCGAUCUGGACCUGUUUUCGGAAUGGCAGGAGAAUCCCUGAGCAGAUUGGGGGCCCUAGAUCACCAGGUGCUGGGGCCCUGCAACUUUGUCCUCCCUCCCUGCCCUGCCUACCCCGUUCCGUCUGUCCCUGCACCACCCCAGCGAGUAGGUGUCUUUUCUUCUUGGGCCUGGGGACCUCCACAGGACGAGGACCUGCAUUCCCAGCAUGUGGGGGUCCCCAGGCCCGUGGUGGGGGUGGCUUUAUAUACCUCUUCCUCAGUCACGCAAAUGCAAGUUUUUGUGGUGGAGGUUAAGGCCUGUGACAAAGGAUCUUAAACCUUGCAGUGUAUGCAGUGAACGUUGUAUUCCACAGAUAUAAAUAUUUUCUUUUCCUAUUACCGUGACACUGUGUGUGAUGGUAAUAUUUCUGAGAGUUUCAGAUUUUUGCACAUAUGAUUUUAUGCAUUAUCAAAAGUUACUGCUGCCUUGAAUGAAAAUGUUCUGUGAAAUUUUUUGCAAAAGCUUUACUAGGUUUUUUUUAAUUGUGAAAUUUUGUAAAGGCAGGAAAUGGAUUAAAAACGAGCAUGCUAAGUAUAUUUUUCAAAAAAGCAAUAAUUUUACAUGUACAGAAAUUAUCCUAACCUUUAAUACUGGUGAGAGCGACCGUUUACUUAAUACAGUAAUGGAUUAGUGCAGUUUUUGUAGAAAAUGGGCUUCUGAUACAAAGACUUGUUUAAACACACACACACACACACACACACACACACACACCCUAAAGUGUGGUUUUCUUGUUCUAAUGAUUUGUUGAAUUAUUAUAUUAUUAUUAUUAUUGUUGUUGUUAUUAGUUGAUGUUUGGUUCUGGAUUCUACUUGUUACUGAGUUUAAAUUACUUGACGGUUCAGGUUACUUUGCAGCAUUUGCAAACAAUGCAAUGUAACUGGCUAGCUUAUACACACACAGGUAUAUAUACAUAUAUUGACAUGAUAUAUGUGUAUAUAUAUAUACUUUUUUUACUUAUUUUUUCCUGAUACUCUUACACCAGAUGUGUACCAGAAUUAUCUGUUGUGUUGGUGUCGUUAGGAAUGUCUGUGCAGAUACUAUAAAGCGGCUGUAAUUGACUGUUCUGUAAAGUUAUUUUGAGCAAAGAUACAUUACAGAGAUACAUUCCUUUGUUCACCUUAGAAAUCAAAAUGCCUUUCUGUUGAUUUAUGUUGGAUCAUUUCGAUAGUUUCCCCAAAGUGAUAAUUUCUGCAUUUUCUGGCUUUUAUUUUCUUGGUUGAAAGUGAAUGGUGACAGUUCAGGAAUGCACAGGGGCUAGUGAUUCAGUCCUGUCUGUUUCUCUGUGUUUUAGUUAUUAAAAGAAAUUCUGUACCCAAAGUGACACGGAGGUGUCGUGUCCAUUUUUAUGUCUCAGCAGUGGCACGUGGGAGCCCAGCUGGCAUUCCGAGCUGGGUGUGUCCUCCGGGAGACCUCUUCCCAGGGAGCCUGGUGGAGAAAAGGGGUCGUUCCCGGGGUCCGGUGGGCAGAGCGUGCAACUCGAGUCAGUUUAAACGUUCGUGUGCUGCACAGAGCACAGAAAUAAGAUUUUCACUUGAUUACACAGACGGGAGGGGACCCCCCGAGAAUGCUGUCGUCCGAGACAAGCUGUGUUCGGGCCUGAUGUCGGUUCCUUUCUUCCACUGAGAUCAUCAGUAUUGUAUCGGUUUGUUAAUGCGUUUAUGUCAGUUCGACCAUAGUAUUUAAUAUGAUUUGUGUUUUCUUAUUUAUUUAGCCAAUAUGUUUUGAUUCGCUUUUUUUCGGAUGAUAAUUUCCGCGUGAUCUCUCCUGUAAGUCACCUUCUGACUGUUACAAACUUUCUACUACCUCUGCCAGUCUGCUGUUUCCUUGUUUCUUAACAGCAUUUUUACAGUGUUGGCGUCUAAUGUAACUUAGACAAUAAAGGGUUUGGUUGUCUACACCGCGGCUUCUCCGUGUGUCUCCCCCGCCCCCGCCUGCUCUCCGACUGCCCCUGGCGCGGCUCUGCUGGUCUGGCUCCCUUGCUCGCCCUCUCCUCCUCCCCGCUCUCGUCUCUUACUCGUUGUUGAAUUUCAAAUAAUACGCAAAUAAUGAGCUUAUAGAAAUCUUUCAGGUUAUUCACUCAUAUUCCUUAAUUUGAAGAAUGAACAUUUAAAUUCUCUGAAAAGUCAUCUUCUCUGGGAAAUCAUCAGCUGUUCUGUCACUUUUCUGCCUGGUCCCCGGAAGGUCCUCUGGCAAUCUCAGAUGGAUAAAUUUCACCUUGGUCCAAAUGCAGCACAAACUUUCAAGCCAAGUGGACUUUGCCUUUUUGGUUUGGAAAAGUAUUAAAUGCUUUAACAGGUCUCCCCAAUAUUUACUUAUUUAUUUUUUAAACCAAGAAAGACACUGGUUUCCUGAAAAGAAGCUGCUCUAGGAAAUUGACCUGGGAAUUACACAUGGCCACUUGGUAAGAUACGAGAACGCUGAUUUUGCCCAGUAUGUCAAGAGCCAUCUUCAAAUUUGGCCCCUCUGUCACGUUGCAUAAGGUUAUAUAAACAUCUGUAUAAAGGCCCAGGCACACGCAGAUGUAAAACUCAGCACUUCGUUAGGAUGUCGUGGUGGACACAGCGAGUAGCAGGUUUCGCCUCUCGGUUCCUUUCCAGGAGGCUGGCCCCAGGAGCUUCACGUGCUUUCCCCCAGGAGAUAGCCUGUGGCUCCUGGGAUGAGCGUCUUCUGGAUCACAGAGGAUGACCUAAGUUGUCAGUCCGUGCCUGAAAAACAGUACACCUCCUGGGUUUUCAUAGCCCGACUCUCUUUACCAAUAUUCCUUCUUUAAAACAAGACAAAUAACCACCCCAAACCCCGAGAACUUUCCAUAAUGUGCAAGAAAGAAGAACCGCAUUUCUAAACUUUACCUUUCCACUCUCAAAUGUCUGCGUGUCGGAGGUAGUGGCUGUUGCUUGACUGCGUUUAAAUUUGGUGAGCUCUAAUAGCAGAACAGUUUGUUCACUCGGCAAAAGACAAGAAAAAUCAUCCCAGGCCAGGAUUCCAGUGAUGGUGUAGGUGUCCCGAGCCCCGUAGCAUGCCCGUGGGAAGUGACCGGGGGAAAAUGUUCAUUCUUCAUCAACUUUGCUAAUUAUACUUUGAGGCAGUAAAAUGCAAAAGACCAUAGAAUUUGUAUUUCUUUUUUUAAAUACAAUUUAUAACAUUAUAUUUUGUACUCUUUAUAUUAGAAUUUGUAACUAGAUUGAUGUAUUUAACUCUAUUUCUGAAAAAAUAAUGUUUCAGUUGUGUGAUAAAAAUAUUUAGAUAAAACAUAUUCACUCUAUUGGAAUUUGAAAUCAAUAAAAACAUCUUGGAGUUCUU